UUAAAUUUUGAAAUAUAAAUUUUAAUUUAGAACUUAAUUGUAAAAUUCUAAUUUAAUCUCCUCUAUUAAAAAAAUUAAAUAACUUCACUCAUUUUAUUCCAUAUUGAUAAUUUUUUAAAUAUUUAAAUAAAUUAAUUUAAUUUUAAAAAAUAAAAAGUUUAGAGGCUCAAAAUUUAUAUAUAUAAUUAGCAACUAUUGUAUUUAUAUUGGAACUAGGCUAUUAUACUAUCGGUAGCACGGAGGGUUCCGUGCUAUUAAGUUGUUUUCGAUGAUGCAGCUUCCAAAUCAAUGAUCGGCUCCGUUAGACUUAAUCUACACUAUUAAAGUAUUUAGAAACUAAAUUUCAUAACUUUUCGAUAUCAUUUACCUAUCAAACAAGUAGUCUAAAAUUAAACGGCUGAAAAUAAAAAUCUCAUAAAAAAUGAUAAUAAAAGAUUUAAAUUUAAGAUCAGAUAUACUGAUCUUACUCUAAAUAGUGAAAAAAAUUUUCUAUAAAAUUUUCAUCGGAUUUGGAUUGUUUUACACCGUUAAACUCACAAAGACACUACAUCGGCCUUUAAAAUUGUCAAUUUUGAGAUCUUUUGAUCACUAGUCAAAUGAUGUCGAAAAAAUCUGAAAUUUAGUUUCCAAAUACUUUUAAUAGUGUAAAUCAAGUCUAAUGGAGCCGAUCGUCGAUUUGGAAGCCGCAUCAUCGAAAACAACUUAGUAGCAGGGAGCGCUCCGUGCUACCGAUAGUAUAGUAGCCGGACUCUUUAUAUUGAAUCUGUUGUACAA
rnacentral:lncRNA from 1 species